UCUUUCAAUCAAUGCCCAAUCACCCCAACAAGCCCACCAAACCAACUUUUAAACCAAAACAUUUGACAAGCAUAGUAUAAGAGAUAGAACCACAUCUUGGCGCACAACAGUACCGCAAGGGAAACAAGAAAGAAAAAUUAAAUAUUAAAACAAAAUAAGCAGAGAUUAAAACCCAUACCUCUUGCAUCAUGGUUUAACAAGUCAACCAUGGACAAAGUGACCCUGCCCUCAGCCCAUUACCCCGAAAUCAAGUGAGCUACCUCUAACCAACUUAUAGAGUCAACCCGUCACUGUAGCAAAAGUGUGGGAUGAGUUAGAGAUAGAAGUGAAAAGCCUAACGAACUUGACGAUAGCUGGUUAUCCAACCAAAUGAACCUCAGUUCAACUUUAGACUCAUUACAUCAACUAUUUGAUUACAAUUAAUCUAAAAGAUAGUCAAUGAGGGCACAGCCUCAUUGAAAUGGAAACAACCUCAACUAGAGAACCACUUACUACAUUUACCUCCCGUAGGCCCUCAAGCAGCCAACAAAAACAAAAUGCGUUACAGCAACAAAUACCCCUAAUACCAUAAUACAAACAAUACCUCCUAUAAUACACCGGAUAAAUCUAUUAACAUAGAAAUACCCAUGUUAAAACUAGUAAUAAGAAAUAAUUCUCUCAUGCACAAGAAAAUAUUAACAGACAUAAUACAUUGCACCAAAUAAAUCACAAGAAAACCCUAUCUACCAAUACUGUUAACCCAACCCAGGAGUGCAUAAAGAAAGAUUAAAAAUUACAAAAGGAACUCGGCAAACAAAAGUCCCAACUGUUUACCAAAAACAUAGCCUUUAGCCCAACAAGUAUUAAAGGUAAUGCCUGCCCAGUGAUAUUUUUCAACGGCCGCGGGAUCCUACACCGUGCAAAGGUAGCAUAAUCACUUGUCAUCUAAAUAAUGACUAGUAUGAACGGCCCUAUGAGGACUUCCCUGUCUCUCGUAAUCAAUCAAUGAAACUGAUCCCCCAGUACAAAAGCUGGGAUAAAUUCACAAGACGAAAAGACCCUGUGGAACUUAUAAGUAUUAAUCAACAAUAUGACACAAAUACUUUUAGUUGGGGCAACUUUGGAACAAAACAAAACUUCCAAUAUAGGGUAUACUUACCCAAAACUAAGUCCACACACUAACUUUUAACCCACCAACUGACCCAGUAUUACUGACAAAAGAAACAAGCUACCCCAGGGAUAACAGCGCCAUCCCCUCAUAGAGCCCAAAUCGACGAGCGGGGCUUACGACCUCGAUGUUGGAUCAGGGCCCCCAAACAGUGCAGCAGCUGUUAAAGGUUUGUUUGUUCAACAACUAAUGCCCUACGUGAUCUGAGUUAAGACCGGAGUAAUCCAGGUCGGUUUCUAUCUGUGUAAUAGUUUUUUCUAGUACGAAAGGACCGAAAAAACCAAGUCAAUGUUAUAAACACACUUGCCAAUCACAAGCUGACACCACUAAAACUUUAAUCAGGCUAAAUAUUACUAGCCCCAAACAAGGGCUUU
rnacentral:rRNA from 1 species